CAGGACCUGGAGCGUAGGGGAGUAGGAUUUAUUUGUAUACUGUACCUGAAGAUGGGGGUUCUAGCUUCUCUCUGGGUUUUCCCUCUCUGUGUGCACCCACUAUGCCAGUCUCCCUCUGAGGCCCACAGAUGGGAAAUGUCCAGGUUGGAAGGAGAGAUUUGUCUUAAAGGAGAGCUCAUGACUCAGCACCCAUACUCAGCACUUCUGUUGACAGCCACAGCAUCUCUGAUCUGGCACAAGAUGGCCAUGUAGGGUGCAGGUCAGAAAGCGUAAAGACAGCAAGGACUCAAGCUAUGGGUAUGAUUUCAGUUUUGCCAACAAUCUGCGUGGAUUCAGGCAACCCCUCAACUUUACUCUAGUCUCCCAUCUAAUUAAUUCUCUCCCUUCUCCUUCCUCUCCUUCCCCCUUUUUGCUAUAUAGUCCAGGCUUGCCUGGAAUUCACUAUGUAGCCAAGGCUGGCCUCAAACUUGUGAUCCUCCUGCAUCAACUUCAUAAGCUCUCAAUUGCUAGGGUUAAAGACAUGAACUAACACACCCAGAUUCCCUCUAGUUCUGACAGAGAGUUCAUACAGGGACUUAGAGGUUCAACACCCAAAUCUGCUGCUUUGAGGCCACAGCUAGGGAGACCUGCUCUUACUUCCUCAGACACAGUAAUGACCAGUCCCUAAUAGGAAUCUGGGACUCAUAGGCUUUCAGCUAACAUGGUUAUAACUAUGCUAAUUUACAUGUCAUUUGUUUUAUUUACACGGCAUCUGGUUUUGUUUUUUUUUUUUAAUCAUUGUGUUUGUUUUGUAGGAUAGGGUGUUAUAUAUACCCCAAACAGGUCUCAAACUCUAUGUAGUUAAGUCAGACUCAAGCUGAACUUCUAAGCCUGCUGCCUCUGCCUCCUAAGUGCUAGGACUAAAGGUAUGCACCACUACACCAAUCUUGAACUGGUUUUAAGCAAGUGCUCUAUCUUUCCAUGUACAUUCUAAGCUCUUUGAGUGCCUGUUAGCCUUCUUUCCCUCCUUCUAAACCCCACAUCACCUUGGCCAGAUUCUGCUUAGACAAAUGUUCCAUCAAAGCUCAACACUGGUGAUUGAUAUUUUCAAGGAUCUGCUAUGUACUGAGUCCCAGCAGAAGGAAACCAAGAGGGAGAUGACAGAAGCUGCUCUUCCAAUGCUGGAGAACUCAGAGAAAGGGGAGAUGGGUGCGAGCAGGAAGGGGUGGAGCCUAAAGACUACAAAGGUGGCCAGAUGUAGGAAGGAGACAGGGCAAGUAUGAAGACUUGGGUGGAGAAGGGAGGGCAGACUGUGGGCCUGUGGGAAAGAAAGGAUGGAUCUACAUCUAACACAGGCACUGGUAGCUGCAACCAAAUGAUAAAUGCCCUAGGCCCCUUGUCUUGGGAGGAAAACAAGAGAAACUGAUGAUGCCCAUUGCUUACCAUUCUUGGAGACGAACUGCGAUGUGACUCCUGCUUCAAACGUGGCAAAGACAGGGCUGUGGUCACUCGUCAUGAUGUCACUGGUACUGCCUACAAGGGAGAGAAAGCAUUUCUAAGCAGGGAUAGAAGAGACCGUCUGACCAAGGUGUGGAUGACAAACCCACAGCAGGGACAAGCUGGGACCAGGCUGGGGACCCUGAGGCCAGCAAGCAAAGAUGUCUCCUGAGUAUCACCAUGGCCCUUGCUGACAGCCAGUCAACCUCAGAUCUGAUCAAAUACCUCAGUGUGUCCAGCUAACACCAAAGAGAAGAAAUGAGCUGUCCAAAUCCAGUCCAGCCCAGAGAAUCUUGAGCAAAGGACUCAGUGUUUUAAGAACUGAGAUUUAGGGCAUUUGUUAUGCAGUGAUUGGAUAGCUGAUACACCUGGGAAGAAAACCCAGGGCACCUUUUCUUGCAUUUUAGAUAUGAAUCCACCCCCCACUAACUUCUUGACCUCCUCUAUCUCUAACUCCUUAAAACCUUCUACUGUGUCCUCUGGCACUCAAAAAGAUAUUAGCAAAAUGCGUACGUCUAUAGCUUCUCCGUGGAAGAUGGCCCAGCCUUACAUGUAAGGUUAGGUUUCCUCUUUGCCUCUCACAUGCUGGGGAUAUGUGUGACGUAUACAUACCCUCCUCAAUCUUAGCUGCCAAUGCCUGAGCCAUCUCGUUCCUCUUUCUUAAAACCUGCACUAUGGGGCAAUUCUGAAGGGCAAGGCUGGUGUCUAAAGAGACAGUGGCAAUUCAACGAGCCUCCACCAUCACUUGGCCCUCAGCAGAGGAAGCUGACUGACGGAGACGGCUGGCAGGAUCUUCUGAGACAGAAGUCGAGAGAGCCUCAGGGCUGCAGAGUUUGAAGAGUAGGUAUCCAUAUGACUGACUCUGUGUAGUGCUGCUGGAAAGAGGGCCACAGGGCUAGAGAGAUCAGGCGUAGGAGAGGGCAGUCAAGCAGGAAAAAGUGAGGGAGGAAUGGGAAAUGGGUUCUUCUGGUGUUUUUGCUUUGUUUGGUUGGUUUGGGAAGUAGUAGGAAUGGAAGCCAGGACCUUAUGCCUGGCAGGGAAAUGCUCUACCCCCGAGUGAUACAUAGCUCCUGUCCCACUUUCAGGUUCUGAAGGCAGAGCGGUGCCAUGGCCGAGGCUGUGAGUAAAAGAGAUGCUUCUGUGCUGCACAUCGGAAGGUGUUAUAUGCAGUUUAUCUGGUGAAGUCACUUCCGGGAGACAGAGCUCAGGAGCAGGGGGAGGGGGUUGUAAUGCAUGUGCGAAACUAAUCCGGCAACAGCAGGCACAUACAGAUGAAGGGAACAGAAACUACCUUCUUCUGUGGGAUCAUCGUUAAAUGGUCUCCAGAGAGGGUGGGGACCAUAAGGUGGAUGCUAGUCGGGGGCAAAAUUCCCCCAACAUAUUUCCCUACUCUUAGGGGUGGGUAGGUAUGAGGGCUCAGUGGGAAAGAUAUGAAUCAUGAGCUAUCUCUCAGAGGUCUCUGGCUUAUGAAUUAUUCAUUUGUGGUGUGUUGUGGGAUGAGUGCCAUUGCCUGGAAAUUUGUGGUUUGUUUCCUUUUGUCCUGAGAGAGAGAGAGAGAGAGAGAGAGAGAGAGAGAGAGAGAGAGAGAGAGCGAGAGCGCAGAUCUUCCUGGUGGUUUUAGAAGAAGGAGUUGGAUCCUCUGGAGCUAAAAUUCUAGGUAGUUAUAAGUCACCCAGUGAGUGUGCUGGGAACCAAAGUCAGCUCCUCUGGGAGAUCAGCCAAGUGCUCUUAACUGUUGAGUCAUAUCUCCAGCCUCACAGUGAAACAUUCUUAGGCCUCUCCAAACCUACACAGACAUACUUAAUGAUAUGUAUUAGACUGAACCAUGUAAUACCAGGUAGCUGCCAAUUUUAUACCCAGUAAAAUAUUACUUUUGUAUGGCUCAAAUUCAAUCUGGUUCUCUUAAAAAAGGACCAGAAGGUCCUAUUUAUGAUAUUAGGGAGGAAAUAUUCAACAACCUUACCCAUCUGUGAGCCCUGCAAGCCUGACAAGAGAUGCCUACUAGUACAACAGUGGUACAACUAUCAUGGGAGAAACCAGCUACUUUCUAAUUGGAUGCAAAGCCCACCUCAUGAGAUAGAACUCACAUCUGUUACUAUUAAUUGGGUCACAAACUCAUGACUGCCGGGCCUUAGGCUUUAAGGGAGAACUUAUUACUAUUAUUAAUAACUUAUUACUAAAUUAACAUAGUAGCAUAUUGUCCUUUAAGUUAUUAUCUUUAUAUUCAUAUGUUAUCACAUCUCUUAGCCUUCAUCAGAGAAGCUUCUUUUUGCAGUAGACGGAGAUUAACACAGAGAUCCACAAUUAGUUAACAUGCAGAGAAAAAGAUUAUAGAGUGCUCAGUUCUAAAUGGGACAUGUAUACCAUACACUCUUCCUCCAAAGCUCUGGGAUCAUUACAGGAGAGGCAGUAGAAAGAUCGUAAGAGCCAGAGGUAGUAGAUCUGUGCAGUGAAACAUUUGCUAAAUAGCAGGGCAAAGCCCAAUAGCUCUGACUACAUGUACAAGACCUGCACAAGAUCAAGCCAGCCCAAAUCUCAGCUCUGAUGGGAGAGGGGCUCAUGAAGUCCCGCCCCUAACUAAGGAGCUACUGGCAGUUGAUGGCUACUAGGCAAAGGACAGGAUUUUCUUCAGGGGUUGGUUCCUAAAAGGUUAUCCAUGUUCCAAUAGAUACUGCUGUGCCCACAGACAGACAGACAGACAGGCAGGCAGACAGACAGACAGACAGACAGACUAAGUGAAUUGAGUCAGUUGAGGAGGAGAGAGGGGGAGGGCAGACUAUGUUAAGUCGAGAGGGGGGAGUGCUAGAGGGGAGAAAUCGGGGGAGUGGAUUUGAUCAGAGCACAUAUGACUGUAUGAAAUUAUCAAUUAAAAGGAAAAAAAGCUGCAGUAUUGAUGCGCACCUUUAAUCCCAGCCCUAGGAAAAUAGAGCCAGGCAAAUCUGAGUUCCAGGACAGACAGGGCUACACAAAGAAACCCUGUCUUGAAAGACAAAAACAAAAACAGAACAAAAAAGUCCUUUCUAAUUCAAGUGUCUCUGAGCAGGUUUGAUUCCAUUGCAGCCCAAGGGGGGUAGAGAUGCACCAGCCCUUUCAGGACACUCGAUCAGGGCUCCACUGAGCUUUCUCGUCUUAUAGACAAACAGACUGAAGUCCCUUACUUGCCACUGCCCUCAGAACCCAAAGCCUAGUCUGUCCCCCGCAGUGUUCCGCUCACCGUAGGACUGACAGACCACAUGCACCAGCGGGUAAGACUUCCAGAGGACUCGGUCGCACCAGGAUGGCAAAUUGUACUUCAUCUGCAACACAAUGUUACAGUUUCAUGGCAUGUGUGCUACUUACAGUGUUAUUAGUAAAAACAAAACCACAGUGUUAACGAGGACGUCGCCAUCAUCAGAUUCAUCUGUCCAUUCUCCAGGGAAUUUAUCCUCAGAAGGCUUCAGGAUUGGAUCCCGGUACCUACAUGGCAGUUCACAACCAUCCAUGAUUCCUGUUUCUGGGGAUCUGAUACCCCCUUUCAGCUUCAGUGGGCACCAGAUGCUCAUGUAAGCAAAAACACUGAUACACAUAAAUAAAAAUAAAAUUAGCCUUAGUAGUAACCAACCACAGUAGUGCAUGGGUUUAAUCCCAGUACUCAGAAGGCAGAGGUAAAUGGAUCUCUGUGAGUUUGAGGCUAGCCUGAUCUACACAGUAAGUUCCAGGACAGCCAAGGUUACCUAGUGAGACCCUGUCUCAAAAAUAAAAAAACAAACCAAAAGAAAAAAACAAACAAAAAAACCCAAAAAUAAAA